GCGGGCGUGGCGGAACUGGCAUACGCGACGGGUUUAGGUCCCGUUGGGGCUAACGCUCCUUGGAGGUUCGAGUCCUCUCGCCCGCA
rnacentral:tRNA from 1 species